CUGAACGCUGGCGGCGUGGGCUAAGACAUGCAAGUCGUACGGAAUCCGCAAGGAUUCAGUGGCGGACGGGUGAGUAAUGAAUCGCUAACGUGCCCUCGACUCUGGGAUAGCUAGCCGAAAAGGUUUAGGUAAUAACCAGAUGAUACAACUUUUCCGCCAUGGAAGAGGUUUUCAAAGGGGAAACCGGUCUUGGAGGCGGGCCGAUUUCGUAUCAGCUUGUUGGUGAGGUAAACGGCUCACCAAGGCGAUGACGCGUAGCCGGACUGAGAGGUUGGCCGGCCACAUUGGGACUGAGACACUGCCCAGACUCCUACGGGGGGCUGCAAGUAACGAAUCUUCCGCAAUGCACGCGAGUGUGACGGAGCGACGCCGCGUGUGGGGACGAAGCCCUUCGGGGGUGUAAACCACUGGUCAGGGGUUAGAAAGUUCUGAUCAACCCCAGAGGAAGGCACGGCUAACUCUGUGCCAGCAGCCGCGGUAAAGACAGAGGUGCCGAGCGUUAGGCGGAAUCACUGGGGCUUAAAGGCGUGUGUAGGUGGAUGCCUAAGUAACCUUGUGAAAUCCCACGGCUUAACCGUGGAACUGCCUUGGUAUACUGGGUUGUCUUGAGCCAAGCUAGGGGCUACCGGAACAAAUGGUGGAGCGGUGAAAUGCGUAGAUAUCAUUUGGAACGCCAAUGGUGAAAACAGGUAGCUGGGGGGCUGUGCUGACACUGAGAACACGAAAGCCAGGGGAGCGAACGGGAUUAGAUACCCCGGUAGUCCUGGCCCGUUAAACGAUGUCGACUAGAUCGCAAGUGGCUUCUGACGCUAUUGCGGUCCGAAGCAAAAGUGCCAAGUCGACCGCCUGGGAAGUACGGUUCGCAAGGCUAAAACUCAAAGGAAUUGACGGGGGGCUCACACAAGCGGUGGAGCAUGUGGUUCAAUUCGAAGCAACGCGCCAGAACCUUACCUGGGCUUGACAUGCCAGGAUUAUCCCUGUGAAAGCAGGGUAGGGCCCUUCGGGGGUACAACUGGUACAGGUGCUGGCAUGGCUGUCGUCAGCUCGUGUCGUGAGAUGUCGGGUUUGAGUCCCUUAACGAGCGAAACCUUUGCCCUUAGUUACCAUCGGGUCAUGCCGGGGGACUCUAAGGGGACUGCCGGUGUCAAACCGGAGGAAGGUUGGAGAUGACGUCAAGUCCUCAUGGCCCUUUAUGCCCAGGGCCACACACGUGCUACAAUGGCGUGCACAGAGCGAACCGAGAGGCGCAAAGCUGGAGGAAAUCGCAGAAAUCACGCCCCAGUUUCGGAUUGUGGGCCUGCAACUCGCCCACAUGAAGUUGGAAUCGCUAGUAAUCGCGGAUCAGCUACGCCCGCGGUGAAUGUGUUCCUGAGGCCUUGUACACACACCGCCCCGUCAAGUCCAUGGGAGCCGGAAAUGGCCCGAAAGUUGCCGCGAUAACAGCGGUACCUACGCCAGGUUCGGUGACUGGGACU
rnacentral:rRNA from 1 species